UACGAAGGGGGCGAGCGUUGUUCGGAAUUACUGGGCGUAAAGGGCGCGUAGGCGGCCGCCUAAGUCAGACGUGAAAUCCCUCGGCUCAACCGGGGAACUGCGUCUGAUACUGGGUGGCUUGAAUCCGGGAGAGGGAUGCGGAAUUCCAGGUGUAGCGGUGAAAUGCGUAGAUAUCUGGAGGAACACCGGUGGCGAAGGCGGCAUCCUGGACCGGCAUUGACGCUGAGGCGCGAAGGCCAGGGGAGCAAACGGG
rnacentral:rRNA from 1 species